UUCCGGUUGAUCCCGCCGGAGGUUACUGCUAUCGGUGUUCGCCUAAGCCAUGCGAGUCAUAUGUAGCAAUACAUGGCGUACUGCUCAGUAACACGUGAAUAACCUGCCCUUGGGACCGGCAUAACCCCGGGAAACUGGGGAUAAUUCCGGAUAACGCAUAUGUGCUGGAAUGCUUUAUGCGUAAAAUGGAUUCGUCUGCCCAAGGAUGGGUCUGCGGCCUAUCAGGUAGUAGUGGGUGUAAUGUACCUACUAGCCAGCGACGGGUACGGGUUGUGAGAGCAAGAGCCCGGAGAUGGAUUCUGAGACAUGAAUCCAGGCCCUACGGGGCGCAGCAGGCGCGAAAACUUUACAAUGCGGGAAACCGUGAUAAGGGGACACCGAGUGCCAGCAUCAUAUGCUGGCUGUCCAGGUGUGUAAAAUACACCUGUUAGCAAGGGCCGGGCAAGACCGGUGCCAGCCGCCGCGGUAACACCGGCGGCCCGAGUGGUGAUCGUGAUUAUUGGGUCCAAAGGGUCCGUAGCCGGUUUGGUCAGUCCUCCGGGAAAUCUGAUAGCUUAACUAUUAGGCUUUCGGGGGAUACUGCCAGACUUGGAACCGGGAGAGGUAAGAGGUAC
rnacentral:rRNA from 1 species